GCUCGAUCCUCACUUCAGACGCGAACAGAACCACGACGAGGAAGCUGCAUGCACCUGCCAGGAGGCGGAGUCCAGACAUCAUUGACAGAUUCAAGACAAUCAGAUGGACGUCCACAAGUAAAGUCCCAGAGGACCGUGCAGCGUCUCGUAAGGACGUCCAAAGGCGUUGAAGAAGAAGAAGCCACUGGACACAGACGAGAAGACAAUCAACGCGCCGCAGAAGAUGAUGAUGGUCACGUGGAGACCUGCUGGGAUGGCGUCCAACAACUCUGAAAAGACUGAGCCACAAGAAUUAUGCAACUUAACACACGCAACGGGGACAUUUAAAGACACAGUGAGGACUUGUUGGUAGUCUGGAGGCCAGAAUAGUUGAGUGAGUUGUGAAGCACUGAGGCAGAAACAUGAAAGGUCACUGAGAACUUGUUAGAUCUGGAUCAUUGCUCUCACAUAACUUGAGACAAUAAACACUUGUCCUUUAUCUAA